UAGGGAAUCUUGCGCAAUGGGCGAAAGCCUGACGCAGCCAUGCCGCGUGAAUGAUGAAGGUCUUAGGAUUGUAAAAUUCUUUCACCGGGGACGAUAAUGACGGUACCCGGAGAAGAAGCCCCGGCUAACUUCGUGCCAGCAGCCGCGGUAAUACGAAGGGGGCUAGCGUUGCUCGGAAUUACUGGGCGUAAAGGGAGCGUAGGCGGAUAGUUUAGUCAGAGGUGAAAGCCCAGGGCUCAACCUUGGAAUUGCCUUUGAUAUUGGCUAUCUUGAGUAUGGAAGAGGUAUGUGGAACUCCGAGUGUAGAGGUGAAAUUCGUAGAUAUUCGGAGGAACACCAGUGGCGAAGGCGACAUACUGGUCCAUUACUGACGCUGAGGCUCGAAAGCGUGGGGAGCAAACA
rnacentral:rRNA from 1 species